rnacentral:misc_RNA from 1 species
UCUCCGUUGGUGAACCAGCGGAGGGAUCAUUACCGAGUGUAAAAACUCCCAAACCAUUGUGAACCUACCACUGUUGCUUCGGCGGCCUCGCCCCGGGCGCGUUCGCGCGGCCCGGACCCAGGCGUCCGCCGGAGGCUCCAAACUCCUGAAUUUACAGUGGAUUUUUCUGAGUGGCAUAAGCAAAUAAAUCAAAACUUUCAGCAACGGAUCUCUUGGUUCUG